GCUGCGUAAAUGCUUCUUAGCCCAAGAGAGCUAGUACCAUCCCUGCGUUGGCAUACAUCUCAUAAUAGAACGAUAUAGUAAAGUGGAUUGUAACCCCUUGAGAAUAUGAAAAUAUUUAAGAGAGAAAUCCAAUAGUUAUAUCGCAAUGGUUAGCCGUAUGACCAUAGGAGAGUUACCUGAAACAUGAUGGAAUAUUGUAGAAUUCAUUAGCGUUCACAUUAUUUUUUUACGGUUAU
rnacentral:ncRNA from 1 species